GCCCCCUGAAUUGUAGUCUAGGAAGGCGCCAUCGGCCAAGCCCGUCGCUCAAAUCCCUUGGAACAGGGUAUCGGAGAAGGUGAGAAUCCUGUGCCGUGGCGGAGCUUGGCCGCACGAUGCGCUCUUGUCGAGUCGGGCUGCUUGGGAUUGCAGCUUGAAGUGGGUGGUAAAUUCCAUCUAAAGCUAAAUAUUGGCGGGAGACCGAUAGCGAACAAGUACCGUGAGGGAAAGAUGCAAAGAACUUUGAAAAGAGAGUUAAAGAGUGCUUGAAAUUGGCAGGAGGAAACCCGGUUGCGCGUGGCAUUUGGCGUGGUCGACUCAGCCGCGCGCGGAGAUCUGUAGGGGACCUAACGGCCUCGUGGUCAGCGCGCGCGGUGCACUUCGGCCGCGUCGGUCAGCCGCGUUUCUGUGCGGCCCAGACGGCCGCGGGCAGGGCUUCGGCGCAGCCUGCGGUUUGGGGGUCGCGCGGGAUCCCGGCUGAUGCGCACGGGCGCAACCGACCCGUCUAGAAACACGGACCAAGGAGUCUGACGCGUGUGCGAGUACUAGAGUGGCAAGCUCGAGUGCGCAAUGAAAGUGAAGGGCGUGCCCCGUCAACCGAUCUUGAUCUUCUGUGAAGGGUUUGAGUGGAGCACAUCUGUCGGGACCCGAAAGAUGGUGAACUAUGCCUGAGGAGGGUGAAGCCAGAGGAAACUCUGGUGGAGGCUCGUAGCGAUACUGACGUGCAAAUCGUUCGUCGAACUUGGGUAUAGGGGCGAAAGACUAAUCGAACCAUCUAGUAGCUGGUUCCCUCCGAAGUUUCCCUCAGGAUAGCUUGAACGCCGACGGUUUUG
rnacentral:rRNA from 1 species